rnacentral:rRNA from 1 species
UACGAAGGGUGCAAGCGUUACUCGGAAUUACUGGGCGUAAAGCGAGUGUAGGCGGCCGUGUAAGUCGGAUGUGAAAGCCCUGGGCUUAACCUGGGAAUGGCAUCCGAUACUGCACGGCUCGAGUCUGACAGAGGGAUGUGGAAUUCCGGGUGUAGCGGCGAAAUGCGUAGAUAUCCGGAGGAACACCAGUGGCGAAGGCGGCAUCCUGGGUCAAGACUGACGCUGAGGCUCGAAAGCGUGGGGAGCAAGCAGG